AACAAAAAACAUAAAUUGGUAAAUACCAACAAUACUAAACAUUCCUUUAACAACUAUCAAACAAUUGUCUAUGUUAAGCUAGUUAUACAAAUAUUUGUACAUAUACCUUGAAUGUUAUUCAUGCCUCGAUACCACUGGUUGAAGCAAAGUCCACCGCAAAUUGAUGAUCCAUAAUAGGCACAUCAUACGGACUUUCAAAAUCAGAAUUGCAUCUUUUUAAAGUUUUUACUGACAGAUUAUGUACAAUUGGAACAUCAUAUAAAUUUUUAAAAUAAAAAUAUUAUGUUCAGUUGACAUACUCACAAUUGAUUGAACUUUGAAUGUUCAAAGUUCAAUAGUUUCACAGUUAACACUGACAAUAACAUUCCUAUCUAUUACUACAGAAGAAUAACCCAUAGUACAUGGCAAUUUUAAAUGAUCUAAAAGAGGAACAUCAUAAAGCUCAUCAGAAAAAAAUCACUAUAAUUUGAAUGAUUAGCAGUUUGUAUUUAUCUUAUUCUUUUCCUCGUACCUCCAUUUGACAUUGCAUUUGUACAAUAUACACAAUACACAAAUUAAACUUACAAAACUUAUAUAUUAAUGUAAUAUCCCCUACCCUCAAUAGUUGACUUUCAAGUACCAAAAGAGAAAAGUAUUCUUACUAUCUAAGUUCAAAAUAAAUAUUUUUCAAGAAACCAAAAAUAAACCAUAAGCAUUUUAACAAUUUAUUGUGCAUACUUGUCUAUACAAACAAAAUACACAAAGGAAAAGUAUACGAAUAAAAUUUCUAUCAAAGCAACAAAGCAAUGAGAAUAUAAUGAAAUAACCUAAAAGACAAAAGUAUAAAAAAAUAGGAAGUUAUUUGUAAACAUUGCAAACUCAUAGGCAAACAGAUUUAUCAAUUUCAAACUAUUGAAAACCUCAAGUAUAUAAUUCAAUAACUUGAAUGACCAAAUCUGAGCUUAGAGACAAUCAAACAAUUUGAAACCAAAUUGAAUUAAAAAUGAAGAACAUAAUACUAAAAUUAAAGAAACUGAAAUAAAUAUAAAGAACAUAAUAGUAUAACCAAACAAAAAAAUUUGAAUUGAAAUAGAAGAUUUCAUUACUUUCUUAAUAUGGCUAAAAAGAGAAUAGAAAAGCAAAAUGAUAACAAAACAUUGCAACAUUAAACCCUAAACCAUAAGAAAACAAAAAACACGAAAUUAAAUAAUGAUAAAAUAAAAGGAAAAUAAAAAGCUAUUAUGAGGAGAAAAUAUCAUCGAAUAAACUAAUCAACAAAGAGAACUUAUAAGAGAAAAGAAAGAAUAACAAAAUCUUACAACACAUAUUAAAAUUUGCAACAUUAAACUCUAUACCAUACCUUAAACCACAGAAAACAAAAAAACAAAAAAAAAAUAACAAUGAUAAUAAACUAAUCAAGAAAGAGACCUUAAAACAAAGAAGAAAGAAAACCCUAAACCAUGCUUUUUAACUUUUCCAAAAUGAAAUAGGAGAAAUCAAUCAUAAAGCAAUGACGACAAGCAUCACUUAAUAGACUCUUCCAAAAGAGGUAUAGAAAGGACCAGUUAUCAUGCAAUGAACCGAAGUAACUGGUUAAUAGAGCUCCUCAGAAGACAAAGUGAAAUUAGUAGACAAAUCACUGACAUUUUCUUUUACACUUAUAUGCGCAAAAUGACAUCGUUUUGAAACAAUAAGCAAACCCUAAAACCAUUAAUCCCACAACUAACUCUACCGACAAAAAAUCAAGAUUAGCCACCAACAAAAAACGACCACCUCAAUUGAAUCUUAAAACAAAACCCUAAACCCAUCAAAAGAAAAACCGCCUCAUCCCUACAGCUUUCACAACCAAAAACCUAUCUAGCAAAUGUGAUAACCCAUCACCCUCAAUCAUCCUUUCUUCUUCUUUCUCCCCACCAAUUUUGUCCAACAAAAACUCGAACCCCUCCCUCGAUAAAUAAACAGCACCCAUAAUACCACACUUUUUCCCAUUCAACCCCAAAAGCCACCCUUUAAGCAGUGAACCCUAAAGCCCUUCAUUCCUCCAUCCUCGUCCCUUUUCCUUAUUUCUUCCAUUUAAUCAAAGCACUCAAUAACCAAAACUAUAAAAAAAAAUGUUACGACAAAGAAACCGAAAUAGAGAAAAUAAAAUAGAUAUCUAAACUUACCAAAACCCUACCUAAACAAGCCAAAUGGUAAGGUUAAAAACAACGUCGAUUUGAGCAACCCAACAAGAAAAGGGGAAAAAGCUCAUAAGCUUGCAAAACAACAUUAUUUUGCAAAAUGGGG
rnacentral:lncRNA from 1 species